GUUUAUGGCCAUACCACCCUGAACACACCUGAUCUCAUCUGACCUCAGAAGCUAAGCAGGGUUGGACCCGGUCAGUAUUUGGAUGGAAGACCACCUGGGAAAUACCAGGUGCCAUAAGCC